AUUCAAUUUAUCAUGAAAUCCAUGAAUCUCGGUCGAUCUCAGGUACCUUUUGAAGCCAUCUGUUUCGUUGGAAGCAACGGAAAGAAGAUUAAGCAGAUUGAUAAAGAAUUAUUGCGAGCGAUACUCGAGGAUGAACCGUCCUUUUGCAUCGGGACUACGAUAUAUCGAUUCCUUCAUUGUUCACUCAGCCGGUGAACUCGUUUACAUUACACCAAACUCGUGAUGUCAUGCCGAGAAGUAGCGCCCAUAACAGCCGCAGCACACACGCUGGCUGUAUUGAGAGAGAACACGCGUCUCCAGCGCUUGUAUUACUAAGCUGUCGAUAUAUACUUACGCAAGCAACACGAGAUAUUCUUAGAACGCAGAACCCAUGGAAAUUUGAGGAAACGCGCUUUCAGAGCAAAAAGCUUCGUUUCAAAGGCGCGUCGCCUGGAGAAGUUAAGAAGAGCCGAACUCGUCGCCAAUCGAACUGCGGUCUACGAACGUUGAUUAUUUCUCCACUUUCCCUUCCAAAUAAUAAAUAAAUACAUAUUACUCAA